UACGUCAAUUUAUUAUUUUGCGAUCUCUCUUUUCGUUUUGUUCCUCAAAUCAAUUUUUCCCUUUAAUAUUCAUCUUCUCAAUCCUCGGCGGAUCUGAUUCCGAUCUGUGUUUCUCUGUUACUUGAUUCGAUUACUCUGUUACUAUGUUCUUUGUUACUGUUACUUGCUUUGUCCCAUCAGUACGUUUAAUCUUCCUGCUGCUUUUACGAGCCCGUAGAACAUCAUUAACGAUCGAGAGAUGGGAAGGUCAAGGGGAUUCGGAUUCGUGACCUUCAAGGAUGAGAAAUCAAUGAAGGAUGCUAUUGAUGAGAUGAACGGAAAGGAGCUCGACGGACGUACCAUCACCGUCAACGAGUCUCAGUCUAGAGGAAAGGAAGCGGCGGUGGAGGAGGCCGUGGUGGAGGUGGAUACGGUGGCCGUGGAGGUAGCGAUUGUGGAUCACUGGAUCAACAUGGGUUUGCAUGGGACAAAAUAUGGGCAAUCGAUGACAAUCUACCUCCACAAGUUCUUAAAAUCAUCAUUAGUUGAUCUUCAUCUCAAACCAUCAGAAGAGGACUUAAAGCAAUGGUCUUACAGGUAAAAGUAAAACCAUCAUCAUCCUUUUAUGUUCUUUAUCUUUAUAGAUUCUGAAUUUUAUGUGUGUGUUUGCUUUUUGAGUUCUGGGUUUCACUUGCUAUAGAUGCCCACUCAACAUUGAUUUCUUUAGAAACAUCAAUGGCAAACCCUUCAGAUUCUUAUUUGCAUAUCAUACUUACCUCGCUGUCUCAGAUAUAAGGGUUAGAAACAUUUGAGCACUUGGAGAACCUCAGCAAAAAGGAGCUUUUAACAGAACAAGGCGACAUCAAUAACCUUUAAAUCUGAGAUGGACCGGACUUACCUUGGAGAUAUCCCAAAAUGGUAGCAGUUCUUGAUAAUGAACGGAAAAGAACACAUGUUAUUGGAAAAGAAUGACUUCUAAACACGUUGUAUGUAAACCAUGGGAAGGUGAAUUUAGGGGACGAUGAGUACAAAAACAUACUUUGUGUGGAUGGUUAUUACUUUGAAGCCAUGAGAAGAAUGGACCAGCCAAGCAGUAUGCUUUUAAUCGCUGUUAAGAUCAGUCUCUGCUUUGAUCAACUUGAACAACAGAGAAAAGGAUUCUGAUUCUGUCUGUUUUGGAAUCCCAUCCUAAAAAAAAUCAUCCACUACAGAGAUCAUGCAGAAGAAUAAGCUUGAUAAUGUAUUUCACUAAAAUCUUAUUGCAGGUGCUGGCUUUUUCUUACCAGUCUUACAAGAAAGGCCCAGUUCCAAGAAGCUGAGCUGGAAAAACAGCCAAGCAGCUCAAAGAGGUGUUUACAAUCUCUAGCGAAGAAACGACCAGAUGUGCGGCAACAAAAAAAGGUUAUCAUAUCUCUUACCGCAUAAGUAAUUUCAAAGAUCAAAAUUAGUAAUAUGCUUUAUACAAGUACGAGUGAUUUCUUAUGACUCCGUUAUCAGCAUCACUGAAAUUAUGUAGGUGAAAUACAUGGCUGAAAUAUUACCCGUUCGAUCAGCUUGAACUGUGAAGUCUCCUCCGUCCCUUGAUUCAUUUCCUUCCAGUCCAGGCCGCAUUGACCGUUAUAAUAUCUUAAACCAACCAAAUGGGAACGCGAGCAAAAUGGUGUAAAUACCACAAUGUUUUCUAAUUGGACCAUUACACAUGUACUUGGAAAUGGAGAAGCAUCGACUGAAGCACAUAACAAGAAUGAAUGGGUUGAGAAAGAUGCGCCUGACGUCUACAUCAUUCUUACAGCCUUAGCCAGUGGUGUUACCGACCUCAAACGUGUCCGUUUCAGCCGAAAAGUGAGAAACAAACGUAAUAGUGGUGGCCAGAUAACAGAGGAAGAGUCUACGAACAAUACAAUAUACGAAUGGUCGACAAAACCAGUACAGAAAUGCCUCACUGAGACUCUUUUACCCAACCACUUCUCUGAUUUUCCCAAGCCCCCGAGGCAUCUGAGUGCAAAUAUUGGGAUAUAACAUAUCUUCUAUAUAUAAAGAGAAAAUUUAAAGUUUUGAAAGUGUUUUACGUCUUCUUUCAUUGUAGUUUGGGGGCUCUGUGGUUUGUACGUAUGUUGAUGUCAUCACAAAUAAUAUAAUGAAAAUACACAAAACACCAGUCUUUAUGUGAA